rnacentral:rRNA from 1 species
UACGUAGGGGGCAAGCGUUGUCCGGAUUUACUGGGCGUAAAGAGCGUGUAGGCGGCCACGCAGGUCCGUUGUGAAAACUGGAGGCUCAACCUCCAGCUGUCGACGGAAACCGUGUGGCUAGAGUCCGGAAGAGGAGACUGGAAUUCCUGGUGUAGCGGUGAAAUGCGCAGAUAUCAGGAGGAACACCGGUGGCGAAGGCGGGUCUCUGGGCCGGAACUGACGCUAAGGAGCGAAAGCGUGGGAGCGAACAGG